rnacentral:rRNA from 1 species
GGCCACGCCGUUAAACCCCAACUUCUGAAUGUUGACCUCGGAUCAGGUAGGAAUACCCGCUGAACUUAAGCAUAUCAAAGGCGGA